rnacentral:rRNA from 1 species
UACGUAGGGUGCAAGCGUUAAUCGGAAUUACUGGGCGUAAAGCGUGCGCAGGCGGUUAUGUAAGACAGGUGUGAAAUCCCCGGGCUUAACCUGGGGAACUGCAUUUGUGACUGCAUAGCUAGAGUACGGUAGAGGGGGAUGGAAUUCCGCGUGUAGCAGUGAAAUGCGUAGAUAUGCGGAGGAACACCGAUGGCGAAGGCAAUCCCCUGGACCUGUACUGACGCUCAUGCACGAAAGCGUGGGGAGCAAACAGG